AUUGAACGCUGGCGGCAUGCUUUACACAUGCAAGUCGAACGGUAACAGACCGCAAGGUGCUGACGAGUGGCGAACGGGUGAGUAAUGCAUCGGAACGUGCCCAGUCGUGGGGGAUAACGCAGCGAAAGCUGCGCUAAUACCGCAUACGAUCUCUGGAUGAAAGCGGGGGACCGAAAGGCCUCGCGCGAUUGGAGCGGCCGAUGUCAGAUUAGGUAGUUGGUGGGGUAAAGGCCCACCAAGCCAACGAUCUGUAGCUGGUCUGAGAGGACGACCAGCCAAACUGGGACUUAGACACGGCCCAGACUCCUACGGGAGGCAGCAGUGGGGAAUUUUGGACAAUGGGCGCAAGCCUGAUCCAGCAAUGCCGCGUGCAGGGAGAAGGCCUUCGGGUUGUAAACUGCUUUUGUACGGAACGAAACGGUCCUGGUUAAUACCUGGGGCUAAUGACGGUACCGUAAGAAUAAGCACCGGCUAACUACGUGCCAGCCGCCGCAGUAACAC
rnacentral:rRNA from 1 species